AUGUUUCAAGCACCAAGACCUGUGUCAGCACUGUGGGAAAUCAAGGGCAUACAUUUCUUAAAUCACAGCAGAAUAAAAUCACAGGACAAAACACUGAGGAUCCCUUUGGAAGGUGAAAUAUUAGGAGAGGUGCUCAGGGGACACAAACACGCUGUGCUCAGGACUUUUGCUCACAUAGGACCAGGGGUGGCAGCUUGCUGGAUCCUCACAGCCUGGGCAGAGCAAGAGGAAGGCCCUUACCUGGAGGGAAGAAAGCCCCAUUACAGAACUUUGGUAACAAAGAAAAAUGGGUGAAAAAGAACCAUGCUUCUUCCUGGAGUGGAACACCAAAACAGUGAUUAGAGCUGUAUCAUUGAUACCUCUGACUUUUCUUCCAGAUCACAGAAGGUGAUAUGUUUAAAUUCCUCGGUAGAAGAAAGACAUUCUCAUGGGAUGUUUGCCUACGUUUAUGCUGCACAACAAUGUUAAUGAUAGUUCACAAUAUGUUUGCUUUAGAUUGUUCUCAUGUAAAAACCCAGCUUGCUCAAAACCAAUUACUGAGACUAAUGCUUAAAAAAUUCUUAAUGCAUAGUUUUAUAGAAAAACAAAACUCUACUUAAAAUGUUUUGUUUAUUUUUUUUUUCAAAAAAUGACAGUAAGAAAAGCAGCCUUUGGAACUGCAAAGAGAAGUUCUGAUCUGAUGAUAACUUAGGAAAUGUUUUCCUUGAAGCUUCCCACACCCAUCUCUUUUUAAGUGAAAGCACAAAGUUUUAAGCUUUCUUUAAUGACUUUUGAAACACAUUUAGUGGAAAAAUGUGUUUUGAAACACAUUUAGUAGAAAAACAGCUCUAGGUUGCAUAAGUAAUGAUGGUCUUGCAUGUAAAAGUACUUUAAGAUUUCUUAAUAUUUUAAAAAAGUGAAGGUAAGUUCAUAAUAUCCAAAUAUACAAACAAAUUGGUAUGGAGAUGUUCCUUCUACAUUUCCCACCAAGGACAUAAUGAAAACUUUUUGAGAGUUAGUUAAUAAGCUGUUAUUACUGUCCUUUUGAAUAAAAGAGCUGGCUAGCACUUAAAGAUCUAUCA
rnacentral:lncRNA from 1 species